rnacentral:rRNA from 1 species
AUUGAACGCUGGCGGCAUGCCUUACACAUGCAAGUCGAACGGCAGCACGGGAGCAAUCCUGGUGGCGAGUGGCGAACGGGUGAGUAAUAUAUCGGAACGUGCCCAGUCGUGGGGAUAACGUAGCGAAAGCUACGCUAAUACCGCAUACGAUCUACGGAUGAAAGCGGGGGAUCGCAAGACCUCGCGCGAUUGGAGCGGCCGAUAUCAGAUUAGGUAGUUGGUGAGGUAAAGGCUCACCAAGCCGACGAUCUGUAGCUGGUCUGAGAGGACGACCAGCCACACUGGGACUGAGACACGGCCCAGACUCCUACGGGAGCAGCAGUGGGGAAUUUUUGGGACAAUGGGCGCAAGCCUGAUCAGCAAUGCCGCGUGCAGGAUGAAGGCCU